rnacentral:miRNA from 1 species
UCGGACCAGGCAUCAUUCCUU